GCAGGCGUGGUGGAAUUGGUAGACGCGCAGGAUUUAGGUUCCUGUAUCUAAUGAUGUGAGAGUUCGAGUCUCUCCGCCUGUA
rnacentral:tRNA from 1 species